GAUGAACGCUGGCGGCGUGCCUAAUACAUGCAAGUCGAGCGAACAGACGAGGAGCUUGCUCCUCUGACGUUAGCGGCGGACGGGUGAGUAACACGUGGAUAACCUACCUAUAAGACUGGGAUAACUUCGGGAAACCGGAGCUAAUACCGGAUAAUAUAUUGAACCGCAUGGUUCAAUAGUGAAAGACGGUUUUGCUGUCACUUAUAGAUGGAUCCGCGCCGCAUUAGCUAGUUGGUAAGGUAACGGCUUACCAAGGCAACGAUGCGUAGCCGACCUGAGAGGGUGAUCGGCCACACUGGAACUGAGACACGGACCAGACUCCUACGGGAGGCAGCAGUAGGGAAUCUUCCGCAAUGGGCGAAAGCCUGACGGAGCAACGCCGCGUGAGUGAUGAAGGUCUUCGGAUCGUAAAACUCUGUUAUUAGGGAAGAACAAAUGUGUAAGUAACUAUGCACGUCUUGACGGUACCUAACCAGAAAGCCACGGCUAACUACGUG
rnacentral:rRNA from 1 species